rnacentral:rRNA from 1 species
CAGCAGCCGCGGUAAUACGUAUGGUGCAAGCGUUAUCCGGAUUUACUGGGUGUAAAGGGAGCGUAGACGGAUGGGCAAGUCUGAUGUGAAAACCCGGGGCUCAACCCCGGGACUGCAUUGGAAACUGUUCAUCUAGAGUGCUGGAGAGGUAAGUGGAAUUCCUAGUGUAGCGGUGAAAUGCGUAGAUAUUAGGAGGAACACCAGUGGCGAAGGCGGCUUACUGGACAGUAACUGACGUUGAGGCUCGAAGGCGUGGGGAGCAAACAGGAUUANAUACCCUGGUAGUCCACGCCGUAAACGAUGACUACUANGUGUCGGGUGGCAAANCCAUUCGGUGCCGCANCAAACGCANUANGUANUCCACCUGGGGAGU